UACGUAGGGGGCUAGCGUUGUCCGGAUUUAUUGGGCGUAAAGAGCGUGUAGGCGGCCUGGUAGGUCUGCUGUGAAAACUCGAGGCUCAACCUCGAGAUGUCGGCGGAAACCAUCUGGCUAGAGUCCGGAAGAGGAGAGUGGAAUUCCUGGUGUAGCGGUGAAAUGCGCAGAUAUCAGGAGGAACACCGAUGGCGAAGGCAGAUCUCUGGGCCGUAACUGACGCUGAGGAGCGAAAGCGUGGGGAGCGAACAGG
rnacentral:rRNA from 1 species